rnacentral:rRNA from 1 species
UGAGCAAUUUGCCCUUCUCAUCGGAAUAAGCGUUGGAAACGACGUCUAAUGCCGAAUACGACCUCCUUUCGCAUGAUCGGAGGUGGAAAGCUCCGGCGGAGAAGGAUGAGCUCGCGGCCUAUCAGCUAGUUGGUGUGGGUAAUGGCCCACCAAGGCGACGACGGGUAGCCGGCCUGAGGAGGGUGACCCGGCCACACGUGGGACUGACGACACCGGCCCAGACCUCCGUACGGGGAGG